AUUUAACGCUGGCGGCAGGCCUAACACAUGCAAGUCGAACGAGUGGCGGACGGGUGAGUAAUGUCUGGGAAACUGCCUGAUGGAGGGGGAUAACUCCUGGAAACGGUAGCUAAUACCGCAUACCAUCUUAUGUGCCCAGAUGGGAUUAGCUAGUAGGUGGGGUAAAGGCUCACCUAGGCGACGCUCCCUAGCUGGUCUGAGAGGAUGACCAACCACACUGGAACUGAGACACGGUCCAGAAUCCUACGAGAGACAGCAGGGGUGAAUAUUGCACAAUGGGCGCAAGCCUGAUGCAGCCAUGCCGCGUGUAUGAAGAAGGCCUUCGGGUUGUAAAGUACUUUCAGCGGGGAGGCGUUACCCGCAGAAGAAGAACCGGAUAACUCCGUGCAAGCCGCCGCGGUAAUUC
rnacentral:rRNA from 1 species